GUCGAGAAUAAUUCACAAUGGGGGAAACCCUGAUGGUGCAACGCCGCGUGGAGGAUGAAGGUCUUCGGAUUGUAAACUCCUGUCAUCCGAGAGUAAGACCUGGCGGUAAAUAGCCGACAGGGUUGAUAGUAUCGGAAGAGGAAGGGACGGCUAACUUCGUGCCAGCAGCCGCGGUAAUACGAAGGUCCCAAGCGUUGUUCGGAAUCACUGGGCGUAAAGGGAGCGUAGGCGGCAUGGUAAGUCAGGUGUGAAAUCCCGGGGCUCAACCCCGGAACUGCACCCGAUACUGUCAUGCUAGAGGGUUGGAGAGGUGACUGGAAUUCUCGGUGUAGCAGUGAAAUGCGUGGAUAUCGAGAGGAACACUCGUGGCGAAGGCGAGUCACUGGACAACAUCUGACGCUGAGGCUCGAAGGCUAGGGGAGCAAAAGGGAUUAGAAACCCGAGUAGUCC
rnacentral:rRNA from 1 species